CUUCCCAUGGGAAUCAGCAUUGCAUGGCUUGAGGUAUGGAAGGAACUGGGAUCACUCUGCUCUCCUCACCUGUCCUGUCAGACACAUCUGCAGAUAUGCAAUCCAGCUGGUACAUAUGAAAUUCAGAAAGAAUGAACACAUCACGACAGCAGCAUACCGACUGUCUGACUCUCAAGAUAAGGCUUCUCUUUGUGUCCUGGAGCAUAUGCAGGCCGGAGCCUUGGAGAAUCGUUUCUCACCAACC
rnacentral:lncRNA from 1 species